GAUGAACGCUGGCGGCGUGCCUAAUACAUGCAAGUCGAGCGGACGAUUCGAAAGCUUGCUUUUGAAUCGUUAGCGGCGGACGGGUGAGUAACACGUGGGCAACCUGCCCUGUAGACGGGGAUAACACCGAGAAAUCGGUGCUAAUACCGGAUAACACGAAAUGUCGCAUGACGUUUCGUUGAAAGGCGGCGCAAGCUGCCGCUACAGGAUGGGCCCGCGGCGCAUUAGCUAGUUGGUGAGGUAACGGCUCACCAAGGCGACGAUGCGUAGCCGACCUGAGAGGGUGAUCGGCCACACUGGGACUGAGACACGGCCCAGACUCCUACGGGAGGCAGCAGUAGGGAAUCUUCCGCAAAGGACGAAAGUCUGACGGAGCAACGCCGCGUGAGCGAAGAAGGCCUUCGGGUCGUAAAGCUCUGUUGUUAGGGAAGAACAAGUAACGUAGUAACUGACGUUACUAUGACGGUACCUAACGAGAAAGCCACGGCUAACUACGUG
rnacentral:rRNA from 1 species